AAGAACAGGGGGUGCCCUGCGGGGCGGUGUCUGGAACUGACGGCAGACCACACGGGUUGCUCAGCACACUGGGCUCAGAAACAGGACUUGAACCACUUCGGGGCUCAACGGACGGCGGAAUGCAGGACCCGAGGAGAAGAGAAAAGUCUUCUAUCCAGUGGGCCCUUCAACCUGGGAUCUCCAAAGUCAGCCUUAGGCGUGUUGCCAGGUCCGCCCGGAAGACAGCCUCCACCCUGGAGGCCCAGCGCUGACUCAGCCAGGGCAGGUGCCUGCCCAAUAAAGGACUCCUCAAGAGCUCACCCCUGAAGCACAAGACCAAAAGCAAGGUGGUUCAUUGCCCUUUAGCUCUCUGAGCUGCAAUCCUCACCCCAAGGCAGGGAGAUCAGCACUGCGGCCUGGGCCAGGAGGGGGGAGGCCCGGAGGCCCGGAGGCCCCUGAGCAGCCCCGGCAGAGGCCAGUGCGCACCUGGGAAGACCAGCAGGCAAGAACUGGCCGGAGUGAGACCAGAACUGAUGCGGCACUGCCAGCUCCCUCCCCUGCAUGCAUGGAAACCCUGUCACAAAGAGGGCGCCUACAAUCUGCCUUUGCGGCCACCGGAAAUGCUGGGCUUGUCCUCACUCGGGGAGACCGUCCUGAGCAUCCUGAGCAACAGCAGCUUCACAAGCUUCCGGCAUCCAUCCCUGAGAAUCUGCUCACUGGGGCCUGGUCUCGAUCUCAGUCCCCAGUUACCGCUGCUGAUCCUGCAAGCCUUUGUGGAGUGCCUAUCUCUGGAGCCAGGGCCAGAUGCAAAGUUCAGAGAGAGCUGGUUCCUGACUUCUAGAAACUUACAGGAGGGAACUGUCUAGUAGCUUCACCACAGUAUCUCUGCUUAGCGAGGGGGGCGGGAGAGCAUGCCAGAGCUCCGGGGGCCAGUGGGUCUGGGGUCAGAGCCCUGCCUUUGCUCCUUACUGGUUCGCUGAGCUCGACCAAGAUUCCUGGACUUCUCUAGAUCUCAGUUUCCUCAUUUGGGACAUGUGGACGCCGGCUGCACCCACUUCACAAGAUUGGCACGAAGACAGAAUGAAGAAACGCAUGCCAGCGUGGACCACAGGGGCCAGUGUGCAGCAAGGUCUUGACAUUUCCUACGAUCUCCUUUUACUUUCGGGUGGAACUUGGCUUCCCCUCUCCAGAGGUCCCUCUGAGCCCUGAGAAGAGCUGUCAUCUGUCAUUGGCUUGACUACAAGCACCAGUGCAGUAAAGCUGGUAUUGCUUCUGGAAUUUAAAAAAAAAAAAAGAGUCCGGUUUCUGCCACAGCUGGGCUGCCAGGCAGAAGGAGCCUCUCCUAACAGAAAACCACCGCUGCCAAGGGGUGCAGGUGAAUGAGAAGGCAGCCACGCCUCUGGCCUCCAAGUAGCCUGGAGGAGGAGGCGGAAGGUGUGCCUGCUCUUCUCUUCCUCACGGGUUCCUUAACUCCUUCCUCCCAGAAAAGGUCCAAGAAACAGCCGACAUACCAGUACCACAUGGUGCCAAGGGCUGGGGGAAGCUCACACUGCCAGCCUCGCACUCCAUUCGGCGCCGCCCGUACCAGUAGAUUCCCGUAACCAUGGAGACCAGCAAGUUCCUCCAUAUCACAGGAGAGUCAGCCUGCCAGCAGCCCAGGGCUCCGGGGGAGGCAGGAGACAGCCUGCAGCAGGAGGUUUGGCUCAUUUUACAGAGGACUGAUGGAGACCAAGCAGUGCAGCCGAGGUGCCUGGGCCUCCCUCUUCCUUCCUUUCCUUUGCCUAGUAGUUUCUGUUUCUGUUCAGCACACUGGCGGGCUGUGCGUGGCACGGGGGAGAAGGCAGGCUCUCUGGAGUCACAGAUCCGCAGCAGGACCCCAGCCACACCACGCUGGCUGCCGCACACUCAGAACUGCGGGGUGCAGAGCUCCACAGGUGUGCACGCACUAAAAGCAAGGCUCUGGCCAUCACGUAACAUCUUCUUUCAUGGGGUUCAGGUCAGUAAACACUCUUGUCCCUAGGUUGACCCGAAUCCUUUUGUUCAAAGAAUCACCCAAACACCUUCUCAGCAGAGUGAUCUCUCCCUUCUCUGGCUCCCACAGCGCCCUGUCUGUACCCAUUCAUCUCUUCUGACUGUGUGUCUCCAUGCCUUAAUCUCCUGGAGCUCUGAGAGGUCAGAGACGGUGUUUGGCUCGCUUCUGUAUGCCCUCGGUGCCAGAGGGUGCCCACGUCUAGCUGGCCCAUGUUGAAAUCAUUGAGGAAUAAAAAUGGUACAAGUUUUUGAUCCGUACCGCCACCCUCUUGGAAGAUAACACAAAGGCAGAAGGAAGAUCAGAACCUCUUGCCAAAGACCCUUUUCUCCUCUUUCAAGGUAGUUGUUACCCUUUGAAGUUGUUGGUUACUGUCUGGCCUUCCCACCAGACGACGCUGUAAAGGGAAGGCCCUGGUCUGUCCUGUCCACGGCCCACAGGCACACCUCUAGCACAUGGCAGGUGUAUUCGGUAGGCACUGAGGAAAUAAACGUGUAUGAACGAAUAAA